ACGGCUCAGUAACACGUGGACAACCUACCCUCAGAACGGGGAUAAACCCGGGAAACUGGGUAUAAUACCCGAUAGUUCUGGGACGAUGGAAUGCGCCCAGGACGAAAGCUCCGGCGACUGAGGAUGCGUCUGCGGCCUAUCAGGUAGUAGUGGGUGUAAUGUACGUACUAGCCUACGACGGGUACGGGUUGUGAGAGCAAGAGCCCGGAGAUGGAUUCUGAGACACGAAUCCAGGCCCUACGGGGUGCAGCAGGCGCGAAAACUUUACAAUGCUGGCAACAGCGAUAAGGGGACCUAGAUUGCCAGGAUACAAUCUUGGCUGUCGCGAUGCCUAAAAAGCAUUGCAUAGCAAGGGCCGGGCAAGACCGGUCCCAGCCGCCGCUGUAACACCGGCGGCUCGAGUGGUAACCCAUAUUAUUGGGUCUAAAGGGUCUGUAGCCGGCCGGAUAAGUUUCUUGGGAAAUCCAGCAGCUCAACUGUUGGGCUUUCAGGAGAUACUGUUCGGCUAGAGGCCGGGAGAGGUGAGAGGUACUUCAGGGGUAGGGGUGAAAUCUUGUAAUCCUUGAAGGACCACCAGUUCGAAGGCGUCUCACCAGAACGGACCUGACGGCAAGGGACGAAAGCUAGGGGCACGAACCGGAUUAGAUACCCGGGUAGUCCUAGCCGUAAACGAUACUCGCUAGGUGUCAGCCACGGUGCGACCGUGGUUGGUACCGUAGGGAAGCCGUGAAGCGAGCCACCUGGGAAGUACGGCCCCAAGGCUGAAACUUAAAGGAAUUGGCGGGGGAGCAC
rnacentral:rRNA from 1 species